GCAAGCGUUACUCGGAAUUACUGGGCGUAAAGCGUGCGUAGGUGGUGAGUUAAGUCUGUCGUGAAAGCCCCGGGCUCAACCUGGGAAUGGCGAUGGAUACUGGCUCGCUAGAGUGCGGUAGAGGAGAGUGGAAUUCCCGGUGUAGCAGUGAAAUGCGUAGAGAUCGGGAGGAACAUCAGUUGCGAAGGCGGCUCUCUGGACCAGCACUGACACUGAGGCACGAAAGCGUGGGGAGCAAACAGG
rnacentral:rRNA from 1 species